rnacentral:rRNA from 1 species
UACGGGGGGAGCAAGCGUUGUUCGGAUUUACUGGGCGUAAAGGGCGCGUAGGCGGUCAGCACAAGUCAGUUGUGAAAUCUCCGGGCUUAACUCGGAAAGGUCAACUGAUACUGUGCGACUAGAGUGCAGAAGGGGCAACUGGAAUUCUCGGUGUAGCGGUGAAAUGCGUAGAUAUCGAGAGGAACACCUGCGGCGAAGGCGGGUUGCUGGGCUGACACUGACGCUGAUGCGCGAAAGCGUGGGGAGCGAUCCGG